rnacentral:rRNA from 1 species
UACGGAGGGAGCUAGCGUUGUUCGGAAAUACUGGGCGUAAAGCGCACGUAGGCGGCGCAGCAAGUCAGGGGUGAAAUCCCGGGGCUCAACCCCGGAACUGCCCUUGAAACUGCAGUGCUAGAAUCCUGGAGAGGCGAGUGGAAUUCCGAGUGUAGAGGUGAAAUUCGUAGAUAUUCGGAAGAACACCAGUGGCGAAGGCGACUCGCUGGACAGGUAUUGACGCUGAGGUGCGAAAGCGUGGGGAGCAAACGGG